GCGGAGUUUAAGUGCAGUCUGUGUAAAAUAGAGACGAGUACAUUUGAGGACGUUAUCUUCCACGCAAUAAAUACACUUGCGAACAGAGAAAUAUGCAUCUUGAAACGCAAUGGUGACAGAAAAGCUUAUAAAAGAUUAACUUUCCCCAGUUGUACCCUCAACUGCUUCAAUUUCCAUAUUCUGAAAAAGACAGUUUUGGUAGAACAAAUGUUCUUGACUCGAUUGUUGCUUGCAUGAUUUUAACUGUAUAAGGUGAAACGGUAUGUGACAUAAAUUAUCCACAGUCAUUAAAACAUGAAAUGUAAGGUGUGGGCGAACUUUUUUGUUUGCAUUGGUACGUGAAGUAGAGCACCCUUGAUACAAAAAAAAUUAUCCGUAAUGAACAGCUCGAUACCAGAGGAGGAUUUAGGGGGACAGGGGGUUGCCCCCUUUUUGGGAAAACAUUUGGUUACUUUUAUAUGGAAUCACUGGAGCGGGCCCCCUCUUAGGUAGUCAUUGGACCCCUACUUAUAAAAAUUUCUAGAUCCGCGAGUGGAUACUACCACAGAGGUCAAACAAUGCACAUUUGGGUAAUUGUACACAACAUGCAUGCUACAAUUCAUGUUUGAUGAUCUUAGACCCUUUGGACCUCUAUGUGGGCUAUUUCGGUAACUUGGUAAAAAUCCCCAAACUGGAUACAAGGUUAGAUUCAGCAUGUCAAAGAACCCCAAAUAUCCAUAAGGUCUUUUGUCU
rnacentral:lncRNA from 1 species